rnacentral:lncRNA from 1 species
GUUGUUUCAAAUUAUUACCUUUUUGUUUCUGCGACUUGGAAAUUUUAUGUUGCUAGAGUAGCUUCUUUUCUUGUGGUUGAGCUUUUGGUUUGUUGAUUCAUCAACUGAUACUCCAAUGUGUAGGUUCAAGUUUCUUAGCAUGUGCAACUGUUUUAUCUCUGCAGAUUUUAGCAAUUGCUGUAAAGUUUUAACCUCAAAGCCGUAAACUGUCCUGAAAUGAUAAGCCUGAAUUUUUCGUCCUACUGAACGAUAUCAAACAUUUACUAAAUCACAAGACUUCAUACACAUUGUCCGUAUUGAUCUUCUCUAAGCUAAUAUGGGGAUAUCAUGGUUUAUGUUUCCAAGUUUCAUAUUGAGUCAAAUUAUACCUUAUAGACCAAUAUAAUGCCAAUGGACACUUGAUAUCUUAACAAUUCCUUUAUACUAACAAAAGCUAAAGGAAAAAAAAAAUGCUGUUAUAUGCAAGAAUCACUGGUAUGCUAUGCUUUGGUAUCUCUAGACGGACUCGAUCUAUCUAGACUCUGUUGUCAUUCAAAUAUUGUCUGCAUUACUAACCUUGACUCAUGCUUUGUCGUUCCAUUCGGAAUUAAUCAACAGGUCAGGGGGUGGUAGUGGUGGAACCCCUGCCAAGGAUGCAUUAGGUAAUGAUGUCAUUGCAUCUGAAUGGCUCAAAACUCAUCCACCCGGCAACCGAACUCUCACGCAAGGACUAAAGGUACUGUUACCUUUUCUUUUAUCGCAUCACAAUUUAUUUGUGAAUUCAGUGUUUGCUUGAUGAUCUUAAGAUUACAAGAAAUGACAUCUUGUUCAUGGCAUCGUUUGGACAAUUAUACUAACAUGGUAGUUUGAUUUAUUCUGGUGUUGUGAUAUUGUUUUCGAUGAAAUUUUAGGGAGAUCCUACUUACCUUGUUGUGGAGAAUGAUGGAACACUUGCAACCUAUGGUAUUAAUGCUGUGUGUACUCACCUUGGUUGUGUUGUGCCAUUUAAUGCUGCUGAGAACAAGUUUAUUUGCCCCUGCCAUGGAUCUCAAUAUAACAACCAAGGAAGAGUUGUUAGAGGACCUGCUCCUUUG